GACGAACGCUGGCGGCGUGCCUAAUACAUGCAAGUUGAGCGCUGACGGUUGGUACUUGUACCCACUGGAUGAGCAGCGAACGGGUGAGUAACGCGUGGGGAAUCUGCCUUUGAGCGGGGGACAACAUUUGGAAACGAAUGCUACUACCGCAUAAAAACUUUAAACACAAGUUUUAAGUUUGAAAGAUGCAAUUGCAUCACUCAAAGAUGAUCCCGCGUUGCAUUAGCUAGUUGGUGAGGUAAAGGCUCACCAAGGCGAUGAUACAUAGCCGACCUGAGAGGGGGAUCGGCCACAUUGGGACUGAGACACGGCCCAAACUCCUACGGGAGGCAGCAGUAGGGAAUCUUCGGCAAUGGACGAAAGUCUGACCGAGCAACGCCGCGUGAGUGAAGAAGGUUUUCGGAUCGUAAAACUCUGUUGGUAGAGAAGAACGUUGGUGAGAGUGGAAAGCUCAUCAAGUGACGGUAACUACCCAGAAAGGGACGGCUAACUACGUG
rnacentral:rRNA from 1 species